rnacentral:rRNA from 1 species
GAUGAACGCUGGCGGCGUGCCUAAUACAUGCAAGUCGAGCGAACAGAUAAGGAGCUUGCUCCUUUGACGUUAGCGGCGGACGGGUGAGUAACACGUGGAUAACCUACCUAUAAGACUGGGAUAACUUCGGGAAACCGGAGCUAAUACCGGAUAACAUAUUGAACCGCAUGGUUCAAUAGUGAAAGGCGGCUUUGCUGUCACUUAUAGAUGGAUCCGCGCCGUAUUAGCUAGUUGGUAAGGUAACGGCUUACCAAGGCAACGAUACGUAGCCGACCUGAGAGGGUGAUCGGCCACACUGGAACUGAGACACGGUCCAGACUCCUACGGGAGGCAGCAGUAGGGAAUCUUCCGCAAUGGGCGAAAGCAUGACGGAGCAACGCCGCGUGAGUGAUGAAGGUCUUCGGAUCGUAAAACUCUGUUAUCAGGGAAGAACAAAUGUGUAAGUAACUGUGCACAUCUUGACGGUACCUGAUCAGAAAGCCACGGCUAACUACGUG